UGGGGAAUAUUGGACAAUGGGCGAAAGCCUGAUCCAGCCAUGCCGCGUGUGUGAAGAAGGUCUUCGGAUUGUAAAGCACUUUAAGUUGGGAGGAAGGGCAGUAAGCGAAUACCUUGCUGUUUUGACGUUACCGACAGAAUAAGCACCGGCUAACUCUGUGCCAGCAGCCGCGGUAAUACAGAGGGUGCAAGCGUUAAUCGGAAUUACUGGGCGUAAAGCGCGCGUAGGUGGUUCGUUAAGUUGAAUGUGAAAGCCCCGGGCUCAACCUGGGAACUGCAUCCAAAACUGGCGAGCUAGAGUAGGGCAGAGGGUGGUGGAGUUUCCUGUGUAGCGGUGAAAUGCGUAGAUAUAGGAAGGAACACCAGUGGAGAAGGCGACCACCUGGGCUCAUACUGACACUGAGAUGCGAGAGCGUGAGGAGCAAACAGG
rnacentral:rRNA from 1 species